UAGGGAAUCUUCCGCAAUGGACGCAAGUCUGACGGAGCAACGCCGCGUGAGUGAAGAAGGUUUUCGGAUCGUAAAACUCUGUUGUUAGAGAAGAACAAGUGCUAGAGUAACUGUUAGCGCCUUGACGGUAUCUAACCAGAAAGCCACGGCUAACUACGUGCCAGCAGCCGCGGUAAUACGUAGGUGGCAAGCGUUGUCCGGAUUUAUUGGGCGUAAAGCGAGCGCAGGCGGUUCCUUAAGUCUGAUGUGAAAGCCCCCGGCUCAACCGGGGAGGGUCAUUGGAAACUGGGGAACUUGAGUGCAGAAGAGGAGAGUGGAAUUCCAUGUGUAGCGGUGAAAUGCGUAGAUAUAUGGAGGAACACCAGUGGCGAAGGCGACUCUCUGGUCUGUAGCUGACGCUGAGGCUCGAAAGCGUGGGUAGCAAACAGGAUUAGAUACCCUGGUAGUCCACGCCGUAAACGAUGAGUGCUAAGUGUUGGAGGGUUUCCGCCUUUCAGUGCUGCAGUUAACGCAUUAAGCACUCCGCCUGGGGAGUACGACCGCAAGGUUG
rnacentral:rRNA from 1 species